rnacentral:rRNA from 1 species
UGCGGUGGUCAUAUCGUAGGGGUCACACCUGUUCACAUUCCGAACACAGAAGUUAAGCCCUAUGGAGCCGAUAGUACCUGUCUGGUGACGGACCGGGAGAGUAGGUAGCUGCCGCAU